CAAAAGCCUUCCAAUGACCUUCAUGCCAUCCAGACUUUGCAGCAGGACAGUGAUAUAAUCAUCUUAGUUGAGAUGGUGCCUCGUGAGCUAAAUUCUGAAGGAUGAGUAAGACUAGGUGGACAAGACAGGAAAGAACAAUUCCGGCAGAGGAAGCAAAGCAAACUGCUAAGCUCCAUUCCAGAUUUCAUAAGCUCCAGAAGGUCAGGGGGUAUGUGCUGCUCAACUUGGUAAUCCUGACUCUAGCAUAAAGCAUGGCCAAGGGUAUGAUAUUGGAAUGAAUGAUGGAUUUACAGUUAAAGAAACUGAGGCUCCAAGAGAUUGUCACUGUCCCAUGAUCCCAGAGCUAAUGAUCAAUGAAGCUGGGAUGUAGCCCCUAGACCCCGGGCUUCCAGGCUCUCUCGUGACACCAGACUGAGUGUGCCCUGAGACAUUUACAGAGAUUGAACAUUUUCAGCCAGUCUCAAACUCAUGAUCCUCAUGUUGAAAGUAAAUACAAAAACAAGCCUCAAAAGGAUAUAGGCAUCCAACAAAGCUGACUGACAUCAACCUUGUACCACUUAUGCCUAAUUGAAAGCAGCAUACUGUCAUGGGUUAUCAAAAUGGAAACCAGGGACAUGCUGAAUGAGGAUACUUUUGAAAACGAAAUAAAUGAGAUGUUGGCAUUGCCCCUAUUUUUGAAGAUGAAGAGACUGAUUGGCAUUGGACACUGUCCUUGACUCCCAGGAGCAUGUCAGGAGCAAAAUUCCCAGUUACAGUCCACGCUUCCAACGAGACACUUGGGACAACAGAAAGUUAUGGCCAGAGCAUUGCCUACCUUUGGCCUGCUGAGAAAGAGAAAAAUGUCUUAACUUUUGCUGUAA